GCCGGUGCCCACACUACCCUGAAUGUGCCUCAUCUCGUCUGAUCUCGGGAGCUAAGCAGGGCCGGGCCUGCUUGGCACUUGGA
ensembl:rRNA 5S_rRNA 5S ribosomal RNA